AAAUGUUUCCCAAAAACAUUUCAUUUCCCGCAUCUCCUCCUUCCCCUUCUCUAGUUACUGUUCCCGCUUCUCUCUCCUUCCCCUCUCCGGUUCUCUGCUCCUUCCCCUUCUCUAGCUUCUAACAAGGAGCGAAAUUCAACAUUCACAGCACACACCACACGACUAGCCGCGUCGCCGCGUAGCCACUGAUGUUCCCCCACCGUCGUGUCGCCGCUGCUAUUCCCCCACCGCCGAAUUCGUCAUCUUCCUACCGCCGCCGCCGCGCAGCACACACGCGUCGCUCCUCCUAUCGGUUAUAGGUUUGUAAUUUAAGACCUAACUUUUAUUUGAUUAUUUGUUUCCUAUAAACUUGUUACAUUGUAUUAUCGUUGGAGGUGGUCCAACCGGUGUUUCAGCGGCGAACUGAAUGAUUUCAUAAAAGGCGAUGUUAGCUAGAGGUAUUAUCAUGUGAAAGACCGCAACAAGGUCACUCUUAUUGAGUCGGGUGUGUGUCUUAUGCCCGGAAUUGUGAGAGAAGUUGAGAAGGAGAAGAUUGUUCUUACUGAUGGAACAGAAGUACCAUAUUGAAUUUUGGUCUGGUCUACAAGUGUUGGUCCUUCUCAGUUUAUAAAAUCCCUUAACCUUCCAAAGUGCCCCGGUGAAAGAAUUGGUACUACUGGUUGAAGAAACUGUAAGGUCAGAGAAUUAUCGAUCCCCUGAGAGACCCAUUUAUCUUGUUGGAGAUUCAAUUGGUGGGUGUCUUGCAUUAGCUGUGGGUGCUCGAAAUCCUGAUAUUGGUCUUGUACUCAUUCUGGUUAAUCCCGGUACCUCCUUUGUACCGUGGUUUCUGUCUACAUCAAAUUGAACGAGGCUUCCUGGAAGAUCUUUUGAAAGACCUUGUUGAGAUGUGUCGUGUUGUUUAAAAUCCUAUUCAUGGUCUUUUCUCGAGAAGCUGGUUGCAAGUGACAAGAGACAAGCUUCCUGAUAUUGUCUAAGAGAAUGAAGGGUUUAUUGCUGGAAAGGUCUUCGAUUAUCAACUCUACAUGACUUGGAAGACUUUUCUACAUUCAUGAAUUUGAUAUUGAAGGGGGUAUGCCACGGGAACUACUCCUGUUACUGAAGUAAGGUCCAAGUAUCAAGCAAAGCCAAUUGACAGGUGUAAACGUGCGAUGAAGGAUGAAAGUAAGGAUUAUGUACCUUCAUCCGAAGAUAAUCAGCAGGGAAAUGGUUAUACAACAAAUCUAGAUCAAGUGCGGCUCAUUUAUAGGCCAAGUGCGGCUCAUUUAUAAGCCAAGUGCGGCUCAUUUAUAUAUCAAGUGCGGGCUCAUUUUCAAAUUUGGCAGCUCCAAAUAUGUCAAGUGCGGGCUCAUUUUCAAUAUUGGCAGCACCAAAUAUGUCAAGUGCGGGUUCAUUUUCAAAAUUGGCAGCACCAAAUAUGUUAAGUGCGGGCUCAUUUUCUAAAAUUGGCAGCACAAAAUAUGUCAAAUGCGGGCUCAUUUUCUAAAUUGGCAGCACUUGAAACAUCAAGUGCUGCCAAUAUUUUGGCAGCACUUGAAAAACAUCAAGUGCGGGCAGACCAUGUGCUGCACAUGUAAAAGCCCGCACUAAACCCCUUAAAAUGAGCCCGCACUUGAGGUUUUUUCCUCUAGUGAUGGAAUGAUAUAUUUCAACAAUUAGUUAGACAAAGUGAUUUUCUAAACAAUACCAAGUAUUUUUUAAUCAUAAAACUAUUGAUUGUUGGGUGGAUGAUAGAUUAUACUGAUGGAAUUUUAAUUACUGUGGUGGGUUUGGACGG